rnacentral:rRNA from 1 species
GAUGAACGCUGACAGAAUGCUUAACACAUGCAAGUCCACUUGAACUUCGGUUUGGGUGGCGGCCGGGUGAGUAACGCGUAAAGAACUUGCCUCACAGCUAGGGACAACAUUUGGAAACGAAUGCUAAUACCUGAUAUUAUGAUUAUAUGGCAUCGUAUAAUUAUGAAAGCUAUAUGCGCUGUGAGAGAGCUUUGCGUCCCAUUAGCUAGUUGGAGAGGUAACAGCUCACCAAGGCGAUGAUGGGUAGCCGGCCUGAGAGGGUGAUCGGCCACAAGGGGACUGAGACACGGCCCUUACUCCUACGGGAGGCAGCAGUGGGGAAUAUUGGACAAUGGACCGAGAGUCUGAUCCAGCAAUUCUGUGUGCACGAUGAAGUUUUUCGGAAUGUAAAGUGCUUUCAGUUGGGAAGAAAAAAAUGACGGUACCAACAGAAGAAGUGACGGCUAAAUACGUG